UCGACACUGGUGUCUUGUCUGC
rnacentral:siRNA from 1 species